GCGAACGCUGGCGGCGCGCCUAACACAUGCAAGUCGAGCGCACUCCUUUCGGGGGGUGAGCGGCGCACGGGUGAGUAAUGCGUGGGAACCUACCUUGGGGUUCGGGACAACGGCGGGAAACUGCCGCUAACACCGGAUACGGCCGGAAGGCGAAAGGUUACGCCCUUUGAUGGGCCCACGUCCGAUUAGCUUGUUGGUGAGGUAACGGCUCACCAAGGCUGCGAUCGGUAGCCGGUCUGAGAGGAUGAUCGGCCACACUGGGACUGAGACACGGCCCAGACUCCUACGGGAGGCAGCAGUGGGGAAUCUUGGACAAUGGGGGCAACCCUGAUCCAGCGACGCCGCGUGGGUGAUGAAGGCCUUCGGGUUGUAAAGCCCUUUUGUCGGGGACGAUGAUGACGGUACCCGGCGAAUAAGCACCGGCUAACUCUGU
rnacentral:rRNA from 1 species